UUUAAGGUCUAACCUGCCCAAUGAGGAUUUAAAUGGCCGCAGUAUUUUGACUGUGCAAAGGUAGCAUAAUUAUUAGUUUUUUAAUUGAAAGCUUGUAUGAAGGGUUGGACGAGAUAAAAUCUGUCUUUAUUUAAAUCAAAGUAUAAUUUAACUUUUAAGUUAAAAGGCUUAAAUGUUUAUAAAAGACGAGAAGACCCUAUAGAUCUUUAUUUAAUUAAGAUUUUAAUAAUUUAGGAUUAUUUUAAUUUGGAGUUUUAAUUAAAUUUUAUUGGGGUAAUAUAAAGAUUAAAUAAAUUCUUUUUAUUUAUAACAUUAAUUUAUGAAUAUAUGAUCCAUUAAUAUUGAUUAUAAGAUUAAGUUACCUUAGGGAUAACAGCGUAAUUUUUUUGGAGAGCUCAUAUCGAUAAGAAAGUUUGCGACCUCGAUGUUGGAUUAAAAAUUAGCUUGGGUGCAGAAGCUCAAGAUUUUGGUCUGUUCGACCAUUAAAUUUUUACAUGAUCUGAGUUCAGACCGGCGUAAGCCAGGUCGGUUUCUAUCUUUAUUUAGAUAAAAUAUUUUAGUACGAAAGGACCAAGUAUUUAAUAUAAUUAUAUUUAUUUUUUGAAGAAUAUU
rnacentral:rRNA from 1 species